GGGCUCGUAGCUCAGUUGGCUAGAGCACCGGUUUUGCACACCGGAGGUCAGGGGUUCGAAUCCCCUCGAGUCCA
rnacentral:tRNA from 1 species